rnacentral:rRNA from 1 species
AUGUGGCAUGGAGAGAGAAGCACAAACACACGUAACAUCACAGUUCCAAAAUUUGGUCUCUGCUGCAAGGAAGGGAAAAUUAAAUUACCACCACUGAAGCAAGCUCUGUUGUAUCUCCGACAGCUACUACGUUACAAUGAAAGAGGAGAGUCAUCCAAUUUUCGCCCGAACAUCAGGUUGUACAACUCCAUGUUCGUGUUCACUUCAAUGGGAGGAAAGGUUGACUAUGAAAUUAAUAAGCAGACACCUGGACCAUAUGUUUUCCGUUUGAAUGGCCAAAACUACCAUCAGAUUGGCACUUUACUUCCUAAAGAUGACGUGAUGAAACCAAAAUUUGCCCAAUUGCACAUACAUGACACAGAAAAUGAAGUGCGUAACAGGAUUACUGCAUCAACUUCAAUGGAGAGUAAGACAAAGCCAGAUGAAAACAUUGUCAUAGGUCUACUAGAGAUGCUAGAUGAGCACAAUGUUUUAGUCAAAUCGUUUCGUAUGGCAAGGGACAGGUUCGAAAACCGAGAUAUUAAAGAUGUAAGACUAAGAUUGAUCAACAAAAGGUCGAAAGAUGGACGGCAAUACAACCUCCCAUCUGCCUCAGAAGUUGCAGCACUAAUUAUCGGGGAACAAGAUGGAGAAAAUAAUGAAUUUGAUAUAAUAACUGAGACCAAAGACAGAAUGUUACAGAGGAUUUUAGAGUUGCACCCAAGCUAUAUGUCAAUGCAAUACCCCUUGCUUUUUCCAUAUGGAGAAGAUGGGUUCAGACCAGAAAUAGAGUAUCAAAAAAAGAGAGGCGACAAAGGUAAGAGAAAGUAUGUAACAAUGCUGGAGUUUUAUGCAUAUCGCAUCCAACAACGUCUUAACCAAGCAACAACCUUGCAAAUGAGUGGACGUUUGUUCCUACAGUUCUUAGUUGAUGCAGCAACGUGCAUUGAACAAUGGAGACUAAAUUGGUACAGGACAAACCAAGGUAAGCUGAGGACAGAACUAUACAGAGGACUGCAUGAUGCAAUAGAAAAUGGAGAUACACGAACUGAACAAGUUGGCCAAAGAAUCAUACUACCCUCAACAUAUAAUGGUAGCCCUAGAAAUAAGCAGCAAAACUACCAAGAUGCCAUGGCGAUUUGUCGUUGGGCUGGCUAUCCUGAUCUCUUCAUCACUUUUACAUGCAAUCCGAAAUGGCCGGAAAUACAGGAUAUGCUGGAUCUGAUUCCAGGCCAGAAACCUGAAGAUCGUCCAGACAUUGUUGCCAGAGUAUUCAUGUUAAAACUGAAGGAACUUAUGAAUGACAUAAAGAACGAGAAGUGUUUCGGACAAACAAUUGCGAGUAAGUUUACCAACCAACUACAGCUUUACUAUUGCCUAGAUGAUUGUCCUAAAUCAUUUCUUCUCAUAUUUCUUUACUUGCAUGCAGUUGUCUACACGAUAGAGUUCCAAAAAAGAGGCCUCCCUCAUGCACAUAUACUGGUGUUUCUACAUCCAGAUGAUAAAGAUCCCAGUCCUUCCCAGAUCGACAAAAUCAUAUCAGCCGAAAUUCCUGACAAGAAUAGUGAUCCAGAUGGGUAUGAAGCAGUGCAAAAUUACAUGAUACAUGGUCCCUGUGGUCAAGCACACCCAAAAUCACCAUGCAUGGUCGAUAAAAGUUGUGCCAAACAUUUCCCCAAGAGUUUUUGCACAGAAACUACAAUAGAUGAAGAUAACUAUCCAGUAUAUAGAAGACGAGAUGAUGGCAAUACUGUGGACAAAAACGGAGUGAAGCUAGACAAUAGAUUUGUUGUGCCAUACAAUAGAAACAUACUGGUCAAGUAUCAAGCCCACAUAAAUGUUGAAUGGUGCAACAGAUCAAGGUCUAUAAAGUAUUUAUUCAAAUACAUCCACAAAGGAGAAGAUCGAACAACAGUAUUAAUAGAAACAGAAGAGCAACAAAGAGAAACAAGAGGUGGCAAAUUAACAAACAGGGACGACGAAAUCAAGAGAUACCUUGAUGCUCGGUACAUAUCUGGAUGUGAAGCCGCAUGGCGCAUAUUUCAGUUUCCUCUUCAGUAUAGAGAGCCUGCGGUUGAAAAGUUACAAUUUCACCUAGAAAAUGAACAUGUUGUGGUAUUCCCAGACUCGAUGGAUUUAGAUAAAAUCAUAUCUCGGCCUAACAUAGAAAAGACAAUGUUCACAGAAUGGAUGACAGCCAACCAAUUGCAUGAGGAAGCUCGCAGUUUGACGUAUGCACAGUUUCCAACCAAAUGGACUUGGCAUGCAAAAGAGAAAGAAUGGAGGAAAAGACGUGGUGGUAAAAAAACCAUAGGCAGGAUUUACUAUGCACAACCAACAAGCGGUGAAAAAUACUACUUGAGAAUGCUUCUAAAUACCGUGAAAGGAUGCAGAUCCUAUGAAGAAAUCCGAACAGUUGAUGGGGUUGUACAUCCAACAUACAAAUCUGCAUGUUAUGCUCUUGGGCUACUUAAUGACGACAAGGAGGGGGAUAACUGCAUCAAGGAAGCAUCCCAUUGGGCCUCUGCUCCUCAAAUGCGCCAACUUUUCUGCACAAUACUUUUAUUUUGCGAGGUGACUGAUCCUGCAAAGUUGUGGCAAACAAACUGGGAGUUACUAUCUGAGGACAUCCAACGUCGGCAAAGAAGAAUACUCAAUUUUCAGGCCCUAGAACUCAACUCAUUGCAAAUA